UGGAAAUGAGAUCUCCUAGCAGAAAUGUGAGAGACCCCUUAGAGACGAUGAGGUAGAUAGGGCAGGGGUGGAAGUGCAGCGAUGCAUGGAGCUGACUGCUACUAAUCGGUCGAAAGCUUGACCUA
rnacentral:ncRNA from 1 species